rnacentral:rRNA from 1 species
UGGGGAAUAUUGGACAAUGGGCGAAAGCCUGAUCCAGCCAUGCCGCGUGUGUGAAGAAGGCCUUUUGGUUGUAAAGCACUUUAAGUAGGGAGGAAAAGCUUAUGGUUAAUACCCAUAAGCCCUGACGUUACCUACAGAAUAAGCACCGGCUAACUCUGUGCCAGCAGCCGCGGUAAUACAGAGGGUGCAAGCGUUAAUCGGAAUUACUGGGCGUAAAGCGAGCGUAGGUGGUUGUUUAAGUCAGAUGUGAAAGCCCUGGGCUUAACCUAGGAACUGCAUCUGAUACUGGAUGACUAGAGUAGGUGAGAGGGAAGUAGAAUUCCAGGUGUAGCGGUGAAAUGCGUAGAGAUCUGGAGGAAUACCGAUGGCGAAGGCAGCUUCCUGGCAUCAUACUGACACUGAGGUUCGAAAGCGUGGGUAGCAAACAGG